rnacentral:rRNA from 1 species
GACGAACGCUGGCGGCGUGCUUAACACAUGCAAGUCGAACGGUGAAGGGACCGGUUUUUGCUGGUUCUGGAUGAGUGGCGAACGGGUGAGUAACACGUGAGUAACCUGCCCCCUUCUUCUGGAUAACCGCAUGAAAGUGUGGCUAAUACGGGAUAUUCUGCGCCCGCUGCAUGGUGGGUGUGGGAAAGAUAUUGUUUCGGUGGGGGAUGGGCUCGCGGCCUAUCAGCUUGUUGGUGGGGUGAUGGCCUACCAAGGCGGUGACGGGUAGCCGGCCUGAGAGGGUGGACGGUCACACUGGGACUGAGACACGGCACAGACUCCUACGGGAGGCAGCAGUGGGGAAUAUUGCACAAUGGGCGCAAGCCUGAUACAGCGACGCCGCGUGAGGGAUGGAGGCCUUCGGGUUGUAAACCUCUUUCGCCAGUGAAGCAGGCCUGUCCCUUUUGUGGGUGGGUUGACGGUAGCUGGAUAAGAAGCGCCGGCUAACUACGUG